UACAGAGGGGGCCAGCGUUAUUCGGAAUUAUUGGGCGUAAAGCGCGCGCAGGUGGUGCGGUAAGUCUGUCGUGAAAUCUCCCGGCUCAACUGGGAGGGUGCGGUGGAGACUGCCGGACUGGAGGCACUCAGAGGCCGGUGGAAUUCCCGGUGUAGUGGUGAAAUGCGUAGAGAUCGGGAGGAACACCAGUGGCGAAGGCGGCCGGCUGGGGGUGACCUGACGCUGAGGCGCGAAAGCGUGGGGAGCGAACCGG
rnacentral:rRNA from 1 species